rnacentral:rRNA from 1 species
GACGAAGGGGGCUAGCGUUGUUCGGAAUUACUGGGCGUAAAGCGCGUGUAGGCGGUUGUCCAGGUUGGAUGUGAAAGCCUUGAGCUUAACUCAAGAAAUGCAUUCAGGACUGGAUGACUAGAGGACCGGAGAGGAUAGUGGAAUUCCCAGUGUAGUGGUGAAAUACGUAGAGAUUGGGAAGAACACCAGUGGCGAAGGCGGCUAUCUGGACGGUUUCUGACGCUAAGACGCGAAAGCGUGGGGAGCAAACAGG